AGGGUUCGAUUCUGGCUCAGGAUGAACGCUAGCUACAGGCUUAACACAUGCAAGUCGAGGGGCAGCAUGUUGGUUGCUUGCAACCAAUGAUGGCGACCGGCGCACGGGUGAGUAACGCGUAUCCAACCUUCCCCUUAGUAGGGCAUAGCCCGUAGAAAUGCGGAUUAAUACCCUAUGUUGUAUAUUGAGGACAUCUGAUUUAUACCAAAGGUUCACCGCUAAGGGAUGGGGAUGCGUCUGAUUAGGUAGUCGGCGGGGUAACGGCCCACCGAGCCUACGAUCAGUAGGGGUUCUGAGAGGAAGGUCCCCCACAUUGGAACUGAGACACGGUCCAAACUCCUACGGGAGGCAGCAGUGAGGAAUAUUGGUCAAUGGACGAGAGUCUGAACCAGCCAAAGUAGCGUGCAGGAUGACGGCCCUAUGGGUUGUAAACUGCUUUUAUACGGGGAUAAAGUGACCCACGUGUGGGUUUUUGUAGGUACCGUAUGAAUAAGGACCGGCUAAUUCCGUGCCAGCCGCUGC
rnacentral:rRNA from 1 species